rnacentral:lncRNA from 1 species
UGAAGAGCUCCAGAGGAACCCUGCAGAGGGACUUCAAUCACAAUAUGACUGUAGAACUCAGUCUUCUUGGAAAGAAAAAGAAGAGGCUCUGGGUUGACAAAUGGUAGGAAAAUAGGAACUGGCUGUCAUUCACACUCUUUGUAGUCACGCACAGAACAUGAUCAAGGGUGUUACACUGGGUUUCCGUUACAAGGCAAGCUCUGUGUAUGCUCAAUUCCCCAACAACGUUGUUAUCAGGAGAAUGGGUCUCUUAUUGACAUCCAAAAUUUCUUGGGUGAAAAAUACAUGAAAGGGGUUUGGAUGAGGCCGGGUGUUGCUUAUUCAGUAUCUCAAGCCCAGAAAGGUGAGUUAAUCCUUGAAGGAAAUAACAUUGAGCUUGUUUCAAAUUCAGCUGCUUUGAUUCGGCAAGCCACAGCCGUUAAAAACAAGGAUUUCAGAACAUUUUUGGAUUGUAUCUGUAUUUCUGAAAAA